AUUGAACGCUAACGGCGUGCUUAACACAUGCAAGUCGAGCGGCAGCAUGACUGUAGCAAUACAGUUGAUGGCGAGCGGCGGACGGGUGAGUAAUGCAUAGGAAUCUGCCUUGUAGUGGGGGAUAACCCGGGGAAACUCGGGCUAAUACCGCAUAAUCUCUACGGAGCAAAGUGGGGGACCUUCGGGCCCUACGCUAAAAGAUGAGCCUAUGUUGGAUUAGCUAGUUGGUAGGGUAAAGGCCUACCAAGGCAACGAUCCAUAGCUGGUCUGAGAGGAUGAUCAGCCACACUGGGACUGAGACACGGCCCAGACUCCUACGGGAGGCAGCAGUGGGGAAUAUUGGACAAUGGGCGAAAGCCUGAUCCAGCAACGCCGUGUGUGUGAAGAAGGCCUUCGGGUUGUAAAGCACUUUUAGUGGGGAAGAAAAGUUCAUGGCUAAUAUCCAUGAAUGCUGACGUUACCCACAGAAAAAGCACUGGCUAACUCUGUGCCAGCAGCCGCCGCAG
rnacentral:rRNA from 1 species